CUUAACCCUUACUUCACAAAUCAGUGAAAUCAAACAGACAAACACAGACCACACUCACGCAGCCGGCAACCACAGCUCCAGCCUCCACACCUGACGCCUCACUGCCUCCAGAGUCCAGACAGUUAACUACUUAACUUCACGACAUCACCGGUUCAACGCACACAGCCACGGCUUCAUUGCUCCUGCCUCCGACAGUCCGAC
rnacentral:lncRNA from 1 species